UUCCCACAAUCGUCCUGCACUU
rnacentral:miRNA from 1 species